ACGAACGCUGGCGGCGUGCCUCAUCCAUGCAAGUUGAGCGCUGAAGGUUGGUACUUGUACCGACUGGAUGAGCAGCGAACGGGUGAGUAACGCGUGGGGAAUCUGCCUUUGAGCGGGGGACAACAUUUGGAAACGAAUGCUAAUACCGCAUAAAAACUUUAAACACAAGUUUUAAGUUUGAAAGAUGCAAUUGCAUCACUCAAAGAUGAUCCCGCGUUGUAUUAGCUAGUUGGUGAGGUAAAGGCUCACCAAGGCGAUGAUACAUAGCCGACCUGAGAGGGUGAUCGGCCACAUUGGGACUGAGACACGGCCCAAACUCCUACGGGAGGCAGCAGUAGGGAAUCUUCGGCAAUGGACGAAAGUCUGACCGAGCAACGCCGCGUGAGUGAAGAAGGUUUUCGGAUCGUAAAACUCUGUUGGUAGAGAAGAACGUUGGUGAGAGUGGAAAGCUCAUCAAGUGACGGUAACUACCCAGAAAGGGACGGCUAACUACGUG
rnacentral:rRNA from 1 species